CGGAAAAGUCUCCGAAUUGGGCCGAGGUUUUGGCUAGCCCCCCAUUGUCAGACGUCCCGAGCGCGUUCCCGAAGUCGGAAUCGGCAAAGGUGAGCCGAGACAGCCUUCUUCCUCCGCCCAGCCGCCACAGUGAUUGUCGUCAAGUCUGCCACAGGAGGAUAUUUUGUUCUGGGUUAACCUGCUUUUCUACUUCGCAGGUUGUUUAUCAAUAUUUGUGUAAUGUUAAUUACUCCUAGAAUUUCCGCAU